CACCGGAGUAGGUAGAUGACAAGGCAGGCGAACAAUCCAAUACUUAAGGCGAGUUUGUGGUCGAGAGGAAAAAGGUGAUUCAGUAUCCAGGAAGUACGAUUGAAGCAAACUAUCUGAAGCAAGAGGUGAAGUCAUGGUCAAAAGGAGUAAGACCGGGUUGAUGGUAUUGCACAUGAUGCUGGACCUCUUCUCCUGGCCAUGGUGGGGCAGAGCUGGGAAGAUGCUGUGCUUCCCAGGCUGGAUGGCAAUCUUCAGGAUCAUACAAUGUCGGAAGAUAUUUCUUGCACAAGGAAGUGGGUGAUUUCUAGAUGACUGUUUUAUGGGAUUGUUUUAUACUGUAUACAAAUUCACAAUGCUGUUGCAGCUUAUCUCAAAUGGCUGAUUUAGCAAACUUGAAGUAAUGAAAUGUAAACAAUUUCUAAAUGAUCAAUGGUAAAAUGAUUAAAUUCUGCUUUCAUGAUGAUGGUAAUAGAGUCAAUUGUUUUAAAAAUAAGAGAAAGAUGUAAUGAAAGUUUAUUUUCUAGCUCUACAGGAGCAAUGUCUG